rnacentral:rRNA from 1 species
AUUGAACGCUGGCGGCAUGCCUUACACAUGCAAGUCGAACGGUAACAGGUCUUCGGAUGCUGACGAGUGGCGAACGGGUGAGUAAUAUAUCGGAACGUGCCUAGUAGUGGGGGAUAACUACUCGAAAGAGUGGCUAAUACCGCAUGAGAUCUACGGAUGAAAGCAGGGGAUCGCAAGACCUUGUGCUACUAGAGCGGCCGAUGGCAGAUUAGGUAGUUGGUGGGAUAAAAGCUUACCAAGCCGACGAUCUGUAGCUGGUCUGAGAGGACGAUCAGCCACACUGGGACUGAGACACGGCCCAGACUCCUACGGGAGGCAGCAGUGGGGAAUUUUGGACAAUGGGCGCAAGCCUGAUCCAGCAAUGCCGCGUGCAGGAUGAAGGCCUUCGGGUUGUAAACUGCUUUUGCACGGAACGAAAAGCCCCGGGUUAAUACCCUGGGGUCAUGACGGUACCGUAAGAAUAAGCACCGGCUAACUACGUGCCAGCCGCCGCAGUAA